rnacentral:rRNA from 1 species
GACGAACGCUGGCGGCGUGCCUAACACAUGCAAGUAGAACAGUUGCGAACGGGUGAGUAACGCGUAGGUAACUGCCUCAUAGCGGGGGACUACUAUUGGAAACGAUAGCUAAUACCCCAUACUGUGAGCUGGACCUGCGUUGGUUUAGCUCGUUGGUGAGGUAAAGGCUCACCAAGGGGACGAUCCAUAGCCGGCCUGAGAGGGGGAGCGGACCAACUGGGACUGGGACACGGUCCGGAAUCCUACGGGAGGCAGCAGUAGGGAAUCUUCGGCAAUGGACGGAAGGCUGAACGAGGAACGACGGGGGGGAGAAGAAGGUUUUCGGGUCGUAAAGCUCUGGUGGUAGAGAAGCGGUACCUAACCAGAAAGGGACGGCUAACUACGUGCCAGCAGCCGCGGUAAUUC